CCUACGGGGCGCUGCAGUGAGGAAUAUUGGUCAAUGGGCGAGAGCCUGAACCAGCCAAGUCGCGUGAGGGAGUACUGCCCUAUGGGUUGUAAACCUCUUUUGUCGGGGAGCAAAAGCCGGACGUGUCCGGCUGUGAGAGUACCCGAAGAAAAAGCAUCGGCUAACUCCGUGCCAGCAGCCGCGGUUAAACGGAGGAUGCGAGCGUUAUCCGGAUUUAUGGGGUUAAAAGGGUGCUCAGGCGGAUUUUUAAGUCAGAGGUAAAACCGUGGGGCUAAACCCCAUCCAGCCGUUGAAACUGGGGAGCUAGAGUGCUCGAGAGGUAUGCGGAAUGCGUGGUGUAGCGGUGAAAUGCAUAGAUAUCACGCAGAACCCCGAUUGCGAAGGCAGCAUGCCGGUGCACAACUGACGCUCAGGCACGAAAGCGUGGGUAUCGAACAGGAUUAGAUACCCUGGUAGUC
rnacentral:rRNA from 1 species